GCCCAGGUAGCUCAGUCGGUAGAGCAGAGGACUGAAAAUCCUCGUGUCAGCGGUUCAACUCCGUUCCUGGGCACCA
rnacentral:tRNA from 1 species